GACAAAAGAAAGUAGCCUUUUCACAACCUUUCACUUCUCUCCCUCUCUAUUUUCUCUCUUCACGUCCCUUUCUCCUCUCACUUUCCCCAUCUCUUCUUAUCCUCUCUUUCAAAACCCUAACAAUACUGCAGCCUCUUCCUCCGAUCCUAUCUACGACCACCACACAUCCGCCGACGAUGCCUCUCUUUCUGGUGGCCAUCAAAACGCGAAGCACCAGUCACUCCGUUGCGAGCGACAAAUGAUAACCACCACUUUCAGAUCCAACACGAGUAUUUCUUUUUUUUCUUUCACUCUAUUAAUUUCAAGGGUUUAUGUUCCUAAUCCUUUUUGUUCUGCUUUUAAUUUUUCAGAUCUCAUUAUUCAUCAACUACGAUCUUCAUCCACGGGAAAACACUUGAAAAAGUUCAAACAUCAAAACACUCUCCUCUCUCUUGUCAUGUUGCAACUUUGGAUAGUAAAACUAAGUUUAAGAAGACAUGUCAUAUUUGGAGAGAGAGAAGUAGUCAAAGAAUCCAAUGGGAAAGAGGUUAUUUGAGAUAAUGGCUGAGAAGGAAAGUUAUCUGUGUUUGGUUGUGGAUGUUGGAUCUACAUCUGAAUUGCUUGAAAUUGCUGACAAGGUAUAUAGUGCUUGUAAGAUGGUGAGAGUGAUAUGGAAAAACCGUUAUGAGACAAAUUAUUUAAGAGGUUAGCUUAGGUGUUGGUCACUCUAUCAUUGAACAACCAAGUCCAUGAAACCAACAGGAUUGAAGUCCAAAUACCAGUUCAACAAAUACUCCAUUUAAAAGCAAUGAUGAUGCGAACAUAAUAACAAUUGCUUGAAAUACAUGUUUAAUUUUCAUUAUUCUGUUUGUUCUUAUUUUGGAUUGUCGACAUCCAUUGUCAUGAAUACAUUAUAUUUUGUGUAACCAUGUUUCAAAUUUUUUGUUGAAAUAUUUUGAUAUUAUAAUUUUGCAAAAAAACAUAUAUAAAUAUUAUUUUUAAUGUAUGUUUGAAUACAAUUAUAUUUUUAUUAGUUUUAUCAUGUAUUAAACCAUUCAUACUAUUAUUAUUAUUAUUAAAAUGAUCAAAUAAAAUUUUAAAAUUUGUAACGCAACAAUUUCAGUUAAAUUCACACAAAAAGUAUUGAUAAAUAUAGCUUUUAAUAUGCAUUUGAGUUCAAAUUCAUCAUACAAAAUUAUUUUAACCUAUAUAUAUAUAUAUAUAUAUAUAUAUAUAUAUAUAUAUAUAUAUAUAUAUAUAUAUAUAUAAACAUCUAAAAGGUAUACAUUACUUAAAUAUCUAAAUUCAAUUUCAUAACAUUACAUCUUAUAUUAUUUGUUCAUCGUAACAUCAUUUUAUUUCCUUGCAGGUUCUUCCACUUUACUUUUUGUAUGUCAAAAGUUUUUUGCCUUCUUAUUUCACUUAUUCUUUUGAUGUAGUAUGCUUUGUAAACUUAUUGAUUAAUACUCGAUCCUCCAAAUAUUUUUAUUAUUUACUUUUAUUCAUGUGAGUAUUAUUCAAAUAAUGCUACACUAAUUUUUGUAUACCCGUGCGGACGCCCGGGUAUGUUACUAGUUAUAUUUACAUAGCAAUAAAAAAGUCUUGUAAAAAUAGAUAACUAUCUUUCAUCUACCAUGAACUAAUGAAAUCAUUUAUCCCUUUCAAAUUUCAAUUAUCAAAUGAAAACAUGAGAGUAUUUAAUUUAACAUUGUUAUAAUAAUAAUAAAACAAGAUUCAUAAAAUACAACAUGUACUUACAUCCAUCAAAAGCAACAGAAACUAAGAAAGAGAGUUAAUCUGUUUACUUAACAAAGUAUGGAAGAUCCAAAACAUAAAGAAGGAAGUAAGCCCAAGUAACACCAGAAAUUCCACCAAAGAAAAA